UUUCUUAAAAAUAAAAAUAUUUAAAAGGAAGAGUUUGUGAAGAAAAUUAAACUAAGGAAUUUAAUAAAGAAAAUGCAAUUAAAAUGAUAUCAGUUUGAGGGAACCUAGGGCAAUUGGUUAUGUGGAAAAAGAGUUGGAACGAGUGGGAAGAAAUUUAGGUGAACUUGAAAAGCACUGAAUUUUGGAAAAGAAUUCUUGGAGUCGACUCUGGAAAAUAUAAAAUUGUGAAAUGAUGUAGUGUCCAUUUAGGCUUUACGUAAUUGAGCUUGACUUGACCUGCAUGCAUUAAACUUAAUUAAUAAAUAAUCAAAUCAAACUUGAAUUACCUUUGAUAAUUUAUUAAAAUGCAAUGGUGAGGUAAUACAUUUUUUUAGUUGAAUUUACAAAAUAUGUGAAUUAAAAUAAUGAUAAGUGCUAUGAAUAAGAUAUUA
rnacentral:lncRNA from 1 species